UACAGAGGUCCCGAGCGUUGUCCGGAAUUAUUGGGCGUAAAGAGCUCGUAGGCGGUGUGUCACGUCGGCCGUGAAAAACCUGCAGCUUAACUGUGGGCGUGCGGUCGAUACGGGGCAUCACUGGAGUUCGGCAGGGGGAGACUGGAAUUCCUGGUGUAGCGGUGAAAUGCGCAGAUAUCAGGAGGAACACCGGUGGCGAAGGCGGGGUCUCUGGGCCGAUACUGACGCUGAGGAGCGAAAAGCGUGGGGGAGCAAACAGG
rnacentral:rRNA from 1 species